UUCACAGGAAGAUGAAAAAGAAUAAAUGUCUGGCAAACAAUGUCUGGGCCCCUCAGAAACAGUGGGACCUUGAGGACUUUCAUCGAACAGGCCUUGCCGGGUUCCUCCCUGGCUCCCAUCCCCCCAUAUCAUAGUGUAGUUAUCUACGGUAAUAGCUCUCUUCCUGGCAGGUCCUCCUCUCAAUUCUUUUUAGGCAGUUGAGGGGGAGGCAAAGAGCUCUUCCUGAAUCUGCUGGGCCUAGCAGUCACCGCACUACCUAGGAUAGAUGACAGAAGAUAGGGAGGAGCCCAGCUUUUCUUCUAGACUAAGCCAGGUCCCACUGCUUGGGUCAGGGAGGCAUCUGGGCCCUCUCAGAUCCCCAAGGACAGUCAACUCUUGGAGAGUAGUAGAGAGAGGGGGGUCUUCACUCAGCUCUUGAAUCAGCUGGAUUGACAAUCCCCAACCCCCACCCCAGGACAACCGUGGGCUGGAAGAGGCUUGUGUCACUAGCCAGCAUUGUCCAAACCCCGCAUGGUUUGGGGAAUUCCCAGACUUGUCCUACGAUGCUUGCCCUGAAUCCCCAGGACAGCAGGACCCUAGCAGAGAAGCCCCAGUCCGAGCAAACAGCCUCCAGAUUGCCUUCAGUGCCCGGACAGUCCACCUCUACUUACCCACCUGAACAGCAGCUCCUCUGUCCCCGUAGAGAGCCCAGGGCUGGUGGUACAGAAUCCCCCAAGGGACAAUGACGGAGAGAAUGGGGUGGGGCUUGAGUGGCUCCCACGUGGAGCAGAUCACCCCCCACAUCAUUUCAUACAAGGCUGCUUUAGGACCUGCACGGAGCAGGUGUACUUCAAGGAGUGGUCACUGGGUGUCACCGCUGCUUCCUAGGCAUGUGCACUCGUGGGUGGGCUAAGGCUGAAGCAUGCUGGAGAGAGAAAUCCCUUCUUUGAAACUCGGUUUACGGACCUGAUAUCUUCUGUGUCUUCUAUGUCCUCACCCCUCUCAUCCCCUGUCCCUCCUACCUGGCCUGGAUUGUCCAUCAUGGAGUUGCUCCCCGGCCUCUCUCCUUCCUGGUUCAGAGCAGAUACCAGCGGCUGGAGAAGGUCACACAGCAAGAUGGGCUUUGCCAUUGGUUCAUGAUAACAGGCCAAACACAGGCACUCAUUGCUGCUGUCUCUUCUGGCUACCUCCAUUCGUUCUUCUGCCUGCUCAGAUCUGCCUGAUGCCCUGCCUUGCUCCAGAGAGUUGACUUCUCAAGGUCACUAUGAUCUCCGUGUCGCCAAAUGCCCUGGAUGUCCAUGUCUCUUUUUGACAGCAGUCUCUAACCCUGGGGCUGAAGAUGGGAGAGUUGGUGAGUACAUGGUAUAAUGGGUUAAGCUGUGUCCUCCAAAAAGACAAUGGGUAAGUUCAAGUGGGAAGAAGCAUGCCUAAGAAAAAUUUUAAAGCCAUAAAAAAUAAGCAUUACACACACAAGACAAAAUGCCUUUAUUUUUUUCCCCACAAAUUAAGUCAGAGGCUAAAAGCACAGGACCCAGAGACCACCUAUGUAGCACCAAGACUCCUAUUGCAACAGGUCCUUAUCUGAUACCUCGUCUUCCGACUCAGCCGUCUGACAUAUCUGAUUAUUUUUGACAAGUGCAAUCAUCUCAACAACAGAGCCAUUCAGAACAUUUCAUUGAUACAGAAGCUCUUCCAAG